UACUUUAACAUUAGCUGCUUUUCAAUGUCUUCUGAUCUCUAAAGCUAAGCAGGAGUGGGCCUGGUUAGUACUUGGAUGGGAGACCGCAGGGAAUUCCAGGUGCCACAGUGA
rnacentral:rRNA from 1 species